rnacentral:misc_RNA from 1 species
AAGGAUCAUUAUCGUGGGGCCCCAGGCCCCGUCGAGAUAGAACCCUUGCCCUUUUCGAGCACCCAAACCGUUUCCUCGGCAGGCUCGCCUGCCAGCGGGGACCCAAAACCAAACCCUUUGUGCACCUGGUACGUCUGAAACAAAGCAAAAAGUUUAAAACUUUCAACAACGGAUCUCUUGGUUCUG